UGAAAACGGAGGGCCAUCGUUCAGCAAGUGGUCUCUUCUUUCUAGGAUCACUUUUCAAACCCUGCCUGCAGCGCUGAGGGAAGUGAGUUCGAUGCUCUGCACACUAUUGUACACACCACAAAUGUACCAUCCAUAACACAGCACAAUUGUCAGUUCUGUUUUACAGAGAGGCCUGGGCUGAACAAUCAUGGUGGAUAAAUUACUUUCCUAUUCUACAGCAAGUGGCCUUCCUACCAUGUGAAGCUUAAGGUCAUUGGCAGGGCAGCGAGGGGGAAGCUUAUAUAUUAGUUAACUCUAAUGCACUAAUAGUGUUCAGAUAGAGGAACUAUACCAGUUAAUUACAUUAAGGUUUGUUCGUCAAGAUGGGGGGGUGAUGAAGAGUUAUUGUGCUGAGAUACAUACAUGUAUGUGUGUGUAUAUAUAUAUAUGUUUGCUUUCUUGCUACGAUACUCCUAUAGGUAACUUAACUUAUUUUUCUUUUUUCUUUAAUAUCUGCAUUAAAGCCUUCAAUAUUUUUCAUCACAGGAAUCCAGAUUUCAGAAAUCAGAAAAUAUUCUAAAAAGAUUUUUAAACUGUAGCAACACAUUCUGCUCACAGUUUUUACAGUGUAGUCUAAAGGGGGAGGGGAGGAAAAACCUGUCAAAAAUUAGGUAGAACAUCCUUGAAUGGCAAAGAGCACACCCAGAAUUUAUGUACAACGCAGUGGCAAGUAGCUGCUUCUUAUUAAAUGAAAAUCCUGUAUUAUGUACUUCAGGAACAUUCCAGCUAAUGACUAUGUAAUGUCCUUAGUAUAACACAGAACUUCUUUUUGUGUUCACAACCACAAGAUGCUGGAAACUUGACAAAUGAUAUCAUUUAAGACAGAUGCCUGCCUUAGGGACCUGUUUUUUGGCUUCCUGUUUCUGGUUUUUAUUUCAAUAACAUUUGUAAUUGCCACAGGAUCUGUACCUGUGUAGUGUUUUAACCCCUUCACAUAUAUCCUAUUGCAUUAACUCCUUGGGUAGGUACUUGGAAAUCUUUUCUUUUUUCUUUUUUUUCCCCUCCCCAGCUGGUGUGCUCUGCCUCUCACGAGCACAGAUAUAAAUAAAAGCUGGGACUUAUUAGACCAGAUGAAAUGGUAACAUUAAAGGGGUUAAACGCUUACUGCACUAGCUGUGUUCUACUAGGGCAAAAGUACAUGUAGAGCAGACUCAAGGCAAAAAUCAAGAAACUAGUAUGGCCUGCUGAUAAGCAGGUACGUCCUGCUGAUUCUCAGUGAGAGACAACAAAACUCUGUGUAUGCAGCCCAAGCACACAAUACUUUGAUCUCAGCUAUAUUUCCCAGUGUAUCUUUCUCCUCCUUAAACUGGCAUUCUUUACUUAGGUUAUAGGGCAGGAAUAUUUUCGACAUUGCUGCAAUUGAUGUUACAAGGGGUGUUUUGGCAGUCCUGGUUCAAUGCGAGUUGUAAGUCAGAGCCUGCUUCAAGUAAAGCCCUUAUCACCGGACAUCAGCAGUUUUCAGCUCCCCAGGUGCUCAGCACAGAUCCUGGCAGACUGCAAGAAACUCACUUGCAAUCCAGAGCAGCCCAGAGGCUUUCAUGGUGUUUUAUAGCAUGUUUGGCUUUCUUGUAGGUUUUGCAAAAAAAAAAAAAACCCACAACAUUACAAAUGGGCUGUGUACAAGAAGCUUAUGUGGUUCUGCACAGAGGAGUUUUCACUGGGAAACUUUACUAAAUCCUACACAGUGCUGUAGUAACAAAUAAGGGCUUGGAAAGAGCGUGAGUUCUUAGCACCUAUUCUGCAGGUGAGAAUUUUCUACUUGUCAGGAGCACUUAGCUCUCCUGGACUUACAGUGCUUUCUGAUGUCAUUUUGAAGCAAAAACUUUACAUUCAAGCCUUCUGUCACAGUACAUGUAGUCUCAUUGCACCUGCCUCAACUCUUAAGGCAAGUUUAUCCUGUGAAGUGUCGAACAACCUUAUCUUUCUUCAGAACUGGAGCUGAGGACUCUGAAAACCUCAAGAAACGUCUCUGUUUACCGCAAGACCAGACAGCACAUCAUACAAACAUACCCUCCGGGCAUUCUGCAAGAGAAGGAGGAGGAAGUCUUUAUCUUCUGUCACAAGAGGGAGGUCAAAAGGACCAAGUGAGUGCCAGGCCAAGUCACUUCUCUUGUUCUAGAGUUCAUUUUCGGAGGAGAGCCAUUCUCACUGUGUAACUCUGAUGCAGCACAUUUCAUUACCUAUGUACAGAUCCAAGAAUAGAUUUUGGCCCUGACCAUGGAAUGUUCACCCACUUUCAAGUAUGGAUGUGGCCUGCCUUCUUCUGUGACUAACAGGGUAACCAGAGGCAGUGGAACAUACACCAGGAUGGGAAAGAAUAAAACCAGAGGGAAAGCAAGCUGUCAAGAGAACAGUGUACUGAAGAGGAAAAAUGUAAAACAUGACUUCUAUUUAUCAUGAUUAAUAUGUAAAGUUAACAUGUUUGUCAUGGAAUAUAUUACUAUGUAUGUUUUUCCAUUAUGUAGAUCUUUUCUUAUAUUACUUAUUAGAAAGGGAUAUAAUCACAAUGACAGGGCAAGAAUGUCACUUAAAAAUUAGGUGAUGCCCAGUCAACAUAAUAUAACCACUACAGUGUCAUUUCUGAUUUAGAUGUGGUGAUAUCAGUGUAAUUGCCGCUGGGAAGAAAUUAUAAUGGCUGUUAAUGAUAAAUAAAAUGACAAGAAGGAGGAUCCUCCUUCACAUAUAAUUCCAAGCAAAACUCAACUGCUGACUUCCUUAAGCACUCAGUGCCAUUCAUUGAUGAAGAGGAAAUAAGCAGGUUUAUUGUAGCUGCAUGGCCAUACAAACUGCACUGUCAUUUCCCAAGCCUGAGCGUAGAUGCUGUGGGUCUACCAAGAUUUCACCAUACUAUUUUCACUCAGGGGAGAUGUAAUAGUGUAGCUCACAUGAAGUGAACCUUAACACAAAGUUAACAUUAUUCUAACAGAAAGCACUGUAGCUAACAAACACAAAGAUAAGCAAAAUAGGGUGAAGGCAAGUGUACAAUCAUGCACAUGGAUACUUUUCAAAGCUCUCAAAUACUCCAGCCUUGUCUCUGUAAACACAGGCAGCCUUAACCCACGGAUCAAAAGACCUUUCUACAUUUGUUUUGUAUCAUAAAUAUGUCAAGAAUGAGCUACACAAAGCAUCGUUCACCCACUGCACAUGGCUUGUUAGCCUAGUUGAGAGCAUCUUUCAACUCAUUCACACAUUAAAAGCCCAGAAACCAACAUCUGAUUACUAGUCCUAGCAUUAAGAUCAAAGACCAUAUCUUCCCAUCUGUGAAAAGCAAGAGCCCAAUUCUUCUCACUCUGCAAUUGCAGAAGACUCAAAACACAAAAUCAACAUUAUACUCCACCUCCCAUGAAUAACACAGUUCCAGUCUAUAUGCAUAAAGCAUCAAGUACAACAUACAUCCAUUUUUUUUCUAGGCAUCUUGGAAAGGAGAUAAGGACAAGCAAAUCUGUAGUCACAUCUUCAUAAUACUCCCAGUCUGCAGCCCCACAAAGUUCAGAGGCUACUUGAUCCACAGGUGUUAUCCUAUUGUAUAAAAUUACAACACCUCUUAAAAGGGAAAAUACCACAUACCUGCCAUUUACUCUGCAUUUGGUAUCUUCAAAAUCAAUUGGUAAAUGGUGGUGUAAGGGUUAAAUUAAAACAAUGCAUUAAAUUAAAACCGCAGAAAAGAUACAGGCAGUGUUGGUUGACCUGUUGUUUCAUUAUCAUAGCUAGGUUUUUAGUUACCCAUUAGUCAAGGAAGCUUAAAAAUACAAAUAAAUAAAAAGUCAACCUUAACCUGGAGAAUAAACCUGUCCACUUUCAGGUGAAACUGAUUUGCUAAUUCAGUUCUAGGUGAUGCAAGCUGGUAUACUCUUGGGCACAUAUAGUCAAAGAGGGCAGGGACAGUGAAAGAAGAGAAGAUAGAAGGAUGAAUAGUGUAUAACAUGUUUUGCAAAAUAUGGCAAAUUAACACAGAGAGGACCCUAGUAAAACUUCUGAACCACCAGUUUAGCAUUUUUAGGUAUAUGGGAUUUUUCUCUUUUUUUGGUUGCCUGUUUUACUACAGGGUAUGUCAAAGGAGUGCAGAGAUCUGCCAAAACCCAGCAAAUUGCUUUGGCUCCCUUGCAUGAAGAUCAUUUGCUGAUAAAUUGUUACAGACACAUUUAGGCAACAGGUUUUUGUAGGAUGCCUGAUGCUCUGUAUAAUGCAAUUACCUUUAUUUAGUAUAUGCUUUUUCUCAUAUAUUGUGUUCUUCUGCUGGCAAACAAUAACGAUGAAAUCUGCACCCUUCAAGUGACUGAAUCUUCCCUUAUGUUUCCUGGAUUUCAGCUCUCUUUUGGGAAAAAACAGUCAUCAAAGGAAAAGGCCUACCUAAUGUUUAGUAACAGGAAUUUUAUUUUAGUGCCUGUUUUGUGUUUGGGAGAGUUAGAAGAAGAGAAUGUG